CUUUGUUCCAAAGGUCAGAACACUGUCAUCAUGUUUCCUUAAAGAAGCCUUGAGUGUGACGGUGAAUCCAGAGAGCUGAGCCUUUCUGUGCAUCAACAGAGCGUUGAAAAGCUGCUGCUGUGAGUUCCAUGUUUGUUCUUUCUCUGCUGUUUUCCUGCUGAUGGACGUCACCUUCACUCCUCGGCUUCAUCCAGAUUCUUUUCUCCAUCAGGAGGUGUGAGCUCUGAUAUGAGUCAGUGUGAGGACAGAGAGGAGGGAGUCCCUCCCUCUAAAAGCCCUCUGUGUGGGGACCAUGAGAGCCGGACCAAAGCUCAGAGGUAAGAGGACCGUCUCUGACUGUCCAUGACUCUUCUCCAUGUCAGAGCUCACACUCACAUUCACACAUCUGUGUGUUCAAGAACAAAGCAGCAGCACACUGCACACUCUGCUGGACCUGGACCUGGACCUGGACCUGGACCUGGACCUGCCAGCUGUGUGUCCAUGAAGAGUGAUCGGUCAAAGGAUUAUCCCAUUGAUUUCAAAGCUGUUGAUCCAUCUGAGGGUCAAAGGAUCCAGGAUGUGAGAGCAGACUCUGCUGGACCUGGACCCAGCUGUGUGUCCAUGAAAAGUGAUUGGUCGAUGAUUCAGCCCUUUGAUUUCAAAGCUGAUCAGCCAUCUGAUGAUCAAAGGUAAGAAUCACUCUGGAAGUGUCUCCAUGCUGUGAUGAGCUCUGCUGGACUCUUGGGG
rnacentral:lncRNA from 1 species